rnacentral:rRNA from 1 species
CGUCACGGUCAUAUUCAGAAAUAAGCACAGGAAACCGCCAGAUCUAAGAAGCUAAACUUCUUCAAGCUAAAUGAGUUUUUCUAUGAGAGAUCAUUGGGAAAGUUUGGUGUCGUGAUUU